rnacentral:lncRNA from 1 species
GCACAGUGAAGAGGUUCUCUAGUGUAGCUUGGUUGAAACAAAGAAGGACAAGGACCAGCAGACCUGAUUCCUGUCACAGUUGUUUUUAUUACUGCCCUGCUAAAUCAUCUCUGGAAGUUCCUGCACUCCCAACCUGAAUUGCUUCCCAGCAGUCGCAAAAAGACCCUACAGCCACGUGUUAGCAGUGGGAGUCACCAGUGAUUGUCACAGCACCUUGUGUUUCUUUCUUUCUGAAUUACUUCUGCCUCGAAAUACAAUAACUGGCAGGCCCAGAGUGAACUGGCCUGGGUAGGUGUUCCUGUAUUCAUUUAUACUGAUACAAGAAAAAUCAUGAUUUCAAAAGUCAGCCUCUUACUCAGGCAAGACUACCACAGCAGACAAUACUGGCAUACCGUGUACUGGGGUGUUGGCAGAGAGUAGCUGCUUCAGACUGCAGCAAGACUGCUUUUUAAGUUAAUUGCUUCCUCCCUGCCACUGCAGGAUCAUGCACAGCAAUUUAUGGCAUCAUUUUAUGUUGGUUAUUAGUACUAAAACCUUUUGUCACUUGAAUAACUUUCACUUAAUUUGAAGCAUAUGCUAUAAGCUUGAAAUGCAAAGUGUACCUUUGAAAAACAGAAAUUACUGUCACUGGGAGUUAGUGGAUGAGGGAGGCAAG